rnacentral:lncRNA from 1 species
UACUGCUUUUAAUUUGGAAGUGCCGCCUUCAACUUUUUACAACUCCUUACAACUCCUUCAUAUGAACUCCAAAAAUAAUAAUUCUUUCAUGACAAAUAUAGGCCUUGAAAUCGCCAUUGCAGUCGUACCUUCUGAUCUUCAAAGUCUUGUGUAAAACUCCUCAUAUCCUCAAAAGAGUAACAGUAUGUCUUAAAUUAACAUCUUAACUUCAAAUGGCUAUAACUUCUUCACCCUAACUCUAAAUCCUCUAAUUUUUAUACACCAAUUAUAUCCCAAAUCCUAAACUUUAUAACCUUAGCUUGUAAUCUCUGAAUCCUUCUUUGAAGUCACCAAAACUCUUGUUAAGGUCACGGGUAGCCUCCUCAAAGCCCAUUGGGCAUGGUAUUCGAUCAAUAGGGAUGAAGUUCUCCAUUCCUUACCUUCAUCCAACCAUGCCUUACUUUCAU